rnacentral:misc_RNA from 1 species
CUCCAGCAAUUCCAGGGGCACCAACUGGUCCUUGAAGACCUGGGGGACCGGGAGGGCCAUUUUCUCCCUUGUCACCCUUGCUGCCUUUUUGUCCCGGCUCACCAAUUUCACCCUUGUCUCCGUCUUCCCCAGGGGAGCCGGCAGGACCAGCUGGCCCUGGGAGACCAACAGGACCUUGAACUCCAUCUCUCCCUGCAGGCCCUUGGG